UACGUAGGGGGCAAGCGUUGUCCGGAUUUAUUGGGCGUAAAGAGCGUGUAGGCGGCCAUACAGGUCCGUUGUGAAAACUGGAGGCUUAACCUCCAGACGUCGAUGGAAACCGUAUGGCUAGAGUCCGGAAGAGGAGAGUGGAAUUCCUGGUGUAGCAGUGAAAUGCGUAGAUAUCGGGAGGAACAUCUGUGGCGAAGGCGACACCCUGGACCAGCACUGACACUGAGGCACGAAAGCGUGGGGAGCAAACAGG
rnacentral:rRNA from 1 species